AGAGUUUGAUCCUGGCUCAGGAUGAACGCUAGCUACAGGCUUAACACAUGCAAGUCGAGGGGCAGCAUGGUCUUAGCUUGCUAAGGCUGAUGGCGACCGGCGCACGGGUGAGUAACACGUAUCCAACCUGCCGUCUACUCUUGGCCAGCCUUCUGAAAGGAAGAUUAAUCCAGGAUGGGAUCAUGAGUUCACAUGUCCGCAUGAUUAAAGGUAUUUUCCGGUAGACGAUGGGGAUGCGUUCCAUUAGAUAGUAGGCGGGGUAACGGCCCACCUAGUCAACGAUGGAUAGGGGUUCUGAGAGGAAGGUCCCCCACAUUGGAACUGAGACACGGUCCAAACUCCUACGGGAGGCAGCAGUGAGGAAUAUUGGUCAAUGGACGAGAGUCUGAACCAGCCAAGUAGCGUGAAGGAUGACUGCCCUAUGGGUUGUAAACUUCUUUUAUAAAGGAAUAAAGUCGGGUAUGCAUACCCGUUUGCAUGUACUUUAUGAAUAAGGAUCGGCUAACUCCGUGCCAGCAGCCGCGGUAAUACGGAGGAUCCGAGCGUUAUCCGGAUUUAUUGGGUUUAAAGGGAGCGUAGAUGGAUGUUUAAGUCAGUUGUGAAAGUUUGCGGCUCAACCGUAAAAUUGCAGUUGAUACUGGAUGUCUUGAGUGCAGUUGAGGCAGGCGGAAUUCGUGGUGUAGCGGUGAAAUGCUUAGAUAUCACGAAGAACUCCGAUUGCGAAGGCAGCCUGCUAAGCUGCAACUGACAUUGAGGCUCGAAAGUGUGGGUAUCAAACAGGAUUAGAUACCCUGGUAGUCCACACGGUAAACGAUGAAUACUCGCUGUUUGCGAUAUACGGCAAGCGGCCAAGCGAAAGCGUUAAGUAUUCCACCUGGGGAGUACGCCGGCAACGGUGAAACUCAAAGGAAUUGACGGGGGCCCG
rnacentral:rRNA from 1 species